CGGGAAGCCAUGCCUAUCUUUCUACUGCUGAGGGUGGAGCAAGGCCAAGUGGAGGGCAAAGCCCACUCUCUGUUUCCUUGAAAACAGUGCAAUCUUUUAGAAAGUGUGUGUGUGUGUGUGUGUGUGUGUGUGUGUGUGUGUGUGUGUAGAAUUGUAAAUCUGCCUACUGAUUUCUAAGAUGACUUGGAUUUCCUGAAAAAUUCAAAACCAAGCUGAGACACAGAGGAUCGAUCCUGGCUGGGCUACACGUUCAUGGUUGAUACAAAUGGCCAGGCCGCUUUCCUUGCAAUUCCAUCUUUAGGGUUCAUCUACUUCUGUUUGUUUUAGGAGAUGGGUGUCAUGGAGCCCAGGCUAACCUUGAAUUCCAGAUCCUCCUGCCUCUUUGUCCCAGGAUUACAGAGGUGUGCUACCAUGCUUAGUGUAUGUGAUGCUGGGGACUUUGCCCAUGACUCUGGAUGCUUGGCAUGGUCUUUACCACCCCGCCCACCCUGCCCCCAUGACAGCUCCACUUGCUGUGCUUCAGCUGUGACAAGUUCUCUGCUCCUACUGCUCCAGGGAACUUGGCUUUCACACGCUGCUAUGGUCAAGCCACUGAUUCCUGAGGGCACCAGCUCUUCAGCAGAUAUUUCUCCAGGGACCAUUGUGUGGCAAACAGUGUUAGACAAUGAACAAAGUGGAGAUCACACACAGCUCCCCCAGCCUCCCCCAGGCAUGUGAGGGGGAGACAGGCAGUAAACAUGUGAAGAGUGCAGGAGUGGAAUCAUUCCAGGUGUGGGCAAAGCUGAGGAGACAUCUGAGAGACUAGGACAGCCACCUUGGAGGUUCAAGCUAAGAACAAUUAAUGACAGGAGAAACAGCAAUUCCCCCCAAGUCCUGAGGCUCAGCAGGACUCACCAUGUCUGAGGGAUGGAAAGAUUACCAUGGCUGGGGCUUGGUACAUGUCAGGGUAAACCAAGUCUGGAAGGCUGAGAGGACAGGUCACACAGGUCUUUGGAUUUUUUUCUAAGUACUUUCAUCUAAACCCAACAGAAGGCAUAGACGGCCCAUGAGGCACGGCAGGGAUAAAGGACAUGGGCAAAACCAUGGGUGUGAGCUUUUCAAAGACUUAAUGUUUUUACACGGGUUCUCAUUAUGUAGACCAGGCUGGCCUGGAACUCAGAGAUCUGCCUGCCUCUGCCUCCGGAGUGGUGGGAUUAAAGAUGCGUGCCACCACUGCCCAGUGUCAGGCAUUUUGAGGUGUGAGGCUUUAAAAGAAAGAGAUAAGCUCCAGGAAGGACUAAGACAUACCGAACAUCAGAGAGGGCUGGGGAGGGGGAGCUGAGGUUAAGAAUAUCAGCAUCAGCCAUGAACACUAUUCUGUUGGUUCUCAGGGUAAAGCUUAAAGUGUUGCUAAGAAACUUUCUGCCCCCUCUCUCCUAAAAGCUUUUUUUUAAUGAGUUUGUGGGUCAGACUUCGAGUAUGCUGCAUGUGUGCAGAUGUGCAGAGGCCAGAAGAGGCCAUGGGGUCCCCUGGAACUGGAGGUACAGUUUCUGAGGCACCAUGUGGAUGCUGAGAGCUGAAUUCAGUGAUGCUUCCUGUUUAAUGCCCGAGAGCAAAAGCAACAAGAACUCUUCCCUGCAGAGCCAUCCAUUGCUCCAGCCCUGUACACGAGGUUAUACGAUGCUCUGAAAGUGCCUUGCAUGGGAUCACAACUGCAAUGUUGAAGAAAAACCAAGUUCCACCAGGGUUCCACAAGGUUAGGACAAAACUCUGGAUUCUUUAACUAUAAGGGGGAUUUCUGGAGAGAUUCCUAGAAAUAAAUGUUCUGGAGCAGGGACAGAAGAAAGGCCUUGAGUCAGUGUUAACUAUGUUGAAAUUCUUUAUUUUUAAAAAGUAUUUACUUAGUUUUAUUUUAUGUAUUGUGUUUGCCUGCAAUGUAUAUAUGGGUACGUGCAAUGCCUGGCACCCAGGGAAUCCAGAAGAUGGCAUCAAAUCUUCUAGAUCUGGGGUAACAGAUGGUUCUAAACUGCCAGGUAAGUGCUAGCAACAGAGCCCAAGUCCUCCGCAAGAGCAGCAAGUGUUCUUAACUGCUGAGCCAACUUUCUAGCACAGUUGGAAUGGUUCUCAUUGGGCAAGAGGCUUUAUCCAGACUCCAGGGUCAGGUGCUCCUUCCCUCUCAUGUCCUAAUUUCAUGUCCUUGUAUCUUGCCUCCGUUUUAAGGAAGAAGAUGAGGUGGCCUCAAUUAUAAUUUGUGUAAUAGGUGCCUCUCCAACCUAUUCAGAAAGGGAGCAUCCCGCAGUUACCUAAGAAAAACAUUGUUUGAUGUUGAGGAAGGAGCUCAGUGGUGGAGGCCUAGCCUAACCUGUGAGUAACCUUGGGUGUGUGUGAUCCCCAGCACAACUAGCCCCUACAAGGGGGAGGCUUGUGAUUGUCUGAGCUGGAAGGGUUUGCCUUGGGGCCACAGGGUACAAAAAACUACUGGGAACUUUCAAAGAACCCCCUGGGGUUGUUUUCAGUGUCUGAAUUUAGGCUGUACUCUGUACCUUCUCCCUUUGCCUUUUCCUUCUGAAGCUACUACAGCUCCUGGGGGUGGGGGUGGGGAAUGGGUGCCACUCAGGUUCACCCCCAUGGACCUCACCUGUGUGUUCUCAGAAGGAUCUCUGGGGCUCACCUCAUUACCGGUCUCACUUGCAGAUGUCCUUCCCAGCUCUACCCUGCCCUCUGUAUGCCCCCUUUCUCCCAUUCACUCCUUUGCUUCCCUUUAGGAACCCAUGCAAAACUUCUCCAAGGUCAUGCUUGGACCCCUGUGCCCUCUCCCUGUAGCUCUCCUUGCAGGAAUGAAGAAACUCAAGGAGAGACUGUGCCUCUCCAUGUAGCUACUGGACUAUUGAAACAAUGGACCUCAAAGAGCUGGGAUUCCCUCAGGAGCCUCAUGCUGCAGGAAGAAAAGACUUCCUAGUCUGGUGUCAGCUAGAGGAGACCAUGUUUCCUAGGAGGAGAGUUCACAUAGUUGUCAUAGUGGCAGAUCUCCUUCAGGAGAGCUGAGACAACUAUGAAUCACUGAUGGGCAGGUCCACACCACCCAGACAGCUUAGUCAUGAGAAACCUUUUACCCUCUAUUGAAACCUAAUGUGCAACCCUGGCUGUCUGAGAACUUGCUCUGUAGACCAGGCUAGCCUCAGACUCACAGAGAUCUGUCUGUUUCUGCCUCCUGAGUGCUGGGAUUAAAGGCUUGCCCUACCACCGUCCAGCUGAAACCUAAUUCUUAGGUCUUAAUGUCAAGAUGCAGGAGAUGGGCUCAGGGUGUGCUUGUCACUAGGCCCUUUCAUCUGCUCCUCAUUCCAGUGUGACCACAACAAGCUAAAUUGACCCCUCUGUGCUUUCUACUUCUCCUUGUCUCCUGAAUUGGCUUUUGGAGGCCAGGUGGUCAUGCCUAGCUUGUUAGGGCUGCUGGGGCCCAGGCUCUGACCCUAACUCCAACACCCUAACUUUGUCUCCUGGCUGUGUGUCUGGUUACACAGUCAAGGCAGAGCUUCUGAUGUUGGCUGGGCCACAGAACCUCCUUGUCUCUACCCUCUGUUAAGAGUUAAUGGCUGUCACCAAUCACCAAGUUCAAUAGUCUUGGUGAUGGUGUGUCUGUAAUCCUAGCACUUGGGAGGCAGAGGGGAGGGGAAAUCUCUGUAACUCAAUCCACACCCAGGGCAGAGGAGAGACAAACAGAAACAGACAGACAAAGGAAUACAGAGACAUGGGGUGGGGGAGGACGGGGAUGGGGGGAGACAGAGAAAGGCAAAGAGAGGAGAGAGAGAGGCAGAGACAGAGACAGAGAUAGAGAAAGAGGUGAAAGGGAGAAAGAGAAAGAGAGAGGGAGAGAGAGAAUAAUCUUAUCAAGAGUACACUGGCAAAUGCCUUUAAUCCAACCCAGCACCUGAAGGCUCUGACCUCAAGGCCAGUCUGAGAUACAGAAUGCCUCUGCCGCAAAAGGCAAACCAGGAGCAUAGGAAGCUUAAUGGUGAAAGAGCCAGAUGUGCAACCCCGAUGACCUGGUGUCAAUCCUGGGAACCAUGUAAGAAGAUGGCGCAUGACUGUGACCCAGCAGUGAGAUGGCAGAGAUGGCAGACCUGGCAGGGAGCUCCUGGGAUGUUGCUGCGCACAUCCCAGUUUCCAAUGCUACAGGGACCCUGGCCCGACCUGGAAUAUAAAGUUUGUUUGCCGUGGGAACCACUGGCCUCAUUCCCCCAAGUGGUUCCUUGGUGGAGUUGUUGAGAAAUGGUAGGCGGUUUGCCCUCAUCAGCAGCCUUCUCCUGGGAAGAGAAGAUACAGGAUCAAGGCAAUAUAAAGUCUUUAUUAGCCAGCUGGUGACAACAUUGGGUGUUUGAGACCCAACUACAGAGCUGAGUGUUUCUCAGGGUGCUGCUGUCUACAUACUGGGUUCCAAGGCCUGAAUGGCACCUCCAUCAUGGUGUCAGUUGUGCUAAGGUCUGGGUUCUGUUACACCAUUGCUCACUUUUGCAAAUGAAGAGGAUGUGCCUCUUUCAUAGCUGAAUUCCAUUCUCCUGUCCUCAUGUCCCCAUCCCAAGUAUUAUGUCUUCUCUUCCCACCUAUACCCCAUGUUGGAUAUUAUGAUCUGAUGCUCACUAUGUAGCCCAGGCUGUUCUUGAACUCAUGGCAGUCCUGACUCCGGAGAGCUGGGACUACAGGCACCCUUCAUCAGGCUUUGAACCUCCAACUUCUUUGAAACUAGCCUGGGAACAAAUGAGAUAGGCCAGGGUAGAAGGGACUUGACACCAAGCCUAAUGAGUUUAGUUCAAUCCCUAGGACCCACAUGGUGAGGGAGAAAACAGAUUGCACAGAUCGCAUCCAGUUCUCCCCCAACCCCAAGUAAAUAAAUAAAAACAUAAAAAUGUAAACUCCAACCUCACCUCUGUAUUUCUGUUGUACGUCUGUUCUGUUCAUGAAUAUUACAAAUGGCUGUUCUUUGCCUGACUGGGGUCAGGGAGGGCAAUAAUUCUACUGUGGUGACAUAUUUAUGUAGUUUUCAAAAUGAUCCUGCCCUUUGCAUUAGGAGGGAAAUGGUUACAACAUGCAGGGUAGAAAGCAAGUUCUAAAACAAUCAAUUGGUCUGAGAGGCCUGUGUCAAAGGAAGCAGGAGAUUAUCAUUAUUAUGUGUUAGUUUUAUGUUGAAGAGACUCCAGCCAAAAAACAGCAAGAUUAGGACUCGUGCUGUAGUUUAGUUGGUAGAGUAUUUUCCUAGGAUGCAUGAAGUCCUGGGUUCGAUGCCCAGCACUGCUGUAACCACAUGCCUGUAACCUCAGAACGUGGGAGGCAAGAAGAAGUUCCAGGUUGUUUGGGCCAGCCUGGGAUACUUGAGACCCUGUUUCAAAAAAAAACAACAACAACAACAAAAAAAAAAACAAACAAACAAAAAAAAAAACCAAACCAAAAAAAAAAAAAAACAAAAACAAAAAACAAAACAAACAAAAAAAAAAACCAAAGCAAAACAAAACGAACAAGAUCCAGUCAAUUCACUUCUCCCAUGCUAAUGCACACCACCAACUCCUUCCAGCUACCAAAGGCUCGGCAGUCGAGAGGUCCCCGAGCGUGACCCCUGGGCCUCAUUCAUGCAUCUCCAGUCAGCCACAAGCCUCCAACACCCUCCUGUGACAGUUCUAACUGUGGCCUUCAAGAACUUGUUCAAACAAAGUUGUGCAAACUCUUAGCCCACAUCCUUUGUUUAUAAGGAAGAUGGUUCUCUGUGGAUUUGUGGGACUUGAGAGAUGGCUCAGUGGUUGAGAGCACUUGCUGCUCUUGCAGAGGACCAAAGUUUGGUUCUUGGCACCCAUGUCAGGUGGCUCAGAACUACUUGUAACUCUAGCUCCAGGGGAUUCAACGUCUUUGUCCAGUUUCUAGA